rnacentral:rRNA from 1 species
CUACGGGACGCUGCAGUGAGGAAUUUUGCGCAAUGGGGGAAACCCCGACGCAGCAACGCCGCGUGAGUGAUGAAGGCCUUCGGGUCGUAAAGCUCUGUCAAGUGGGAAGAACCUACCUAUGGGUAAUAUUCAUGGGUACUGACGGUACCACUGAAGGAAGCACCGGCUAACUCCGUGCCAGCAGCCGCGGUAAUACGGGGGGUGCAAGCGUUAUUCGGAAUUAUUGGGCGUAAAGGGCGCGUAGGCGGUCUUGUUAGUCAGAUGUGAAAGCCCGGGGCUCAACCACGGAAGUGCAUUUGAUACUGCAAGACUUGAGUAUGGGAGAGGGAAGUGGAAUUCCUGGUGUAGAGGUGAAAUUCGUAGAUAUCAGGAGGAACAUCUGUGGCGAAGGCGACUUCCUGGACCAAUACUGACGCUGAGGCGCGAAGGCGUGGGUAGCAAACAGGAUUAGAUACCCUUGUAGUC